UACGAAGGGGGCUAGCGUUGCUCGGAAUGACUGGGCGUAAAGGGCGCGUAGGCGGCUCAUACAGUCAGAUGUGAAAUUCCUGGGCUUAACCUGGGGGCUGCAUUUGAUACGUGUGGGCUUGAGUGGGGAAGAGGGUCGUGGAAUUCCCAGUGUAGAGGUGAAAUUCGUAGAUAUUGGGAAGAACACCGGUGGCGAAGGCGGCGACCUGGUCCUUGACUGACGCUGAGGCGCGAAAGCAUGGGGAGCAAACAGG
rnacentral:rRNA from 1 species